rnacentral:rRNA from 1 species
AGGAAGGUUUUUGGAUCGUAAACCCCUUUUGUCAAGGAAGAAGCUCUGACGGUACUUGACGAAUAAGCCUCGGCUAACUCCGUGCCAGCAGCCGCGGUAAUACGGAGGAGGCAAGCGUUAUCCGGAAUGAUUGGGCGUAAAGCGCCUGUAGGUGGCCAGCUAAGUCUGCUGUUAAAGAUCACAGCUCAACUGUGGGAAGGCAGUGGAAACUGGCAAGCUAGAGGUUGGUAGGGGUAAAGGGAAUUCCCGGUGUAGCGGUGAAAUGCGUAGAUAUCGGGAAGAACACCGGUGGCGAAAGCGCUUUACUGGGCCAGACCUGACACUGAAGGACGAAAGCUAGGGGAGCGAAAGGGAUUAGAUACCCCUGUAGUC